rnacentral:rRNA from 1 species
CCCCAGCGCCACAAGUGGCAGCCACAAUUAUUGGGCCUAAAGCGUCCGUAGCCGGUUAGGUAAAUCCUUUGUGAAAUCAUCGUGCUCAACGCGAUGGCGUGCAGGGGACACUGCCUGACUUGGGACCGGGAGGAGUCGGGGGUAUUCCAGGGGUAGCGGUAAAAUGUUAUAAUCCUUGGAGGACCACCUGUGGCGAAGGCGCCCGACUAGAACGGAUUCGACGGUGAGGGACGAAAGCCAGGGGAGCGAACCGG